AUGGAGCUGGCGCUGAACUGGGUUUUGCUACUUGCAAUUUUAAAAGGUGUCCUGUGUGAGGAGCAGCUGGUGGAGUCCGGGGGAGGCUUGGCUCCAGGGAAGGGGCUGGAGUGGAUCGCAGGCAUCAGUAGCAGUAGUAGUUACAUAGACUACGCAGACUCCGUAAAGGGCCGAUUCACCAUCUCCAGGGACAACGGCAAGAACAUGCUGUAUCUGCAGAUGAGCAGCCUGAGAACCGAGGACACGGCCAUGUAUUACUACUGUGCUAGACACACAGUGAGACAAUGUCGCUGUGAGCCCAGACACAAACGUCCCUGCAGGGGCCCUUAG